CAAGUCGAACGCGAAAGUGGAGCAAUCCAUGAGUAGAGUGGCAAACGGGUGAGUAACACGUGGGCGACCUACCUCAGAGUGGGGGAUAACCUUCCGAAAGGAGGGCUAAUACCGCAUGACAUCCCGUGUUUGGAUACACGGAGAUCAAAGCCGGGGAUCGCAAGACCUGGCGCUUGGAGAGAGGCCCGCGUCCGAUUAGCUAGUUGGUGAGGUAACGGCUCACCAAGGCUCCGAUCGGUAUCCGGCCUGAGAGGGCGGACGGACACACUGGAACUGAGACACGGUCCAGACUCCUACGGGAGGCAGCAGUGGGGAAUUGUUCGCAAUGGGCGCAAGCCUGACGACGCAACGCCGCGUGGAGGAUGAAGAAUUUCGGUUCGUAAACUCCUUUCGACCGAGAUGAAUGGCCCGUGACCCAACACGUCACGGGAUUGACAGUAUCGAGAGAAGAAGCCCCGGCUAACUCUGUGCCAGCAGCCGCGGUAAUACAGGGGGGGCAAGCGUUGUUCGGAAUUACUGGGCGUAAAGGGUUCGUAGGUGGCCAACUAAGUCAGACGUGAAAUCCCUCAGCUUAACUGGGGAACUGCUUCUGAUACUGGUUGGCUUGAGUGCAGGAGAGGAAUGCGGAAUUCCAGGUGUAGCGGUGAAAUGCGUAGAUAUCUGGAGGAACACCGGUGGCGAAGGCGGCAUUCUGGACUGUAACUGACACUGAGGAACGAAAGCCAGGGGAGCAAACGGGAUUAGAUACCCCGGUAGUCCUGGCCCUAAACGAUGAAUGCUUGGUGUGGCGGGUAUCGAUCCCUGCCGUGCCGAAGUUAACGCAUUAAGCAUUCCGCCUGGGGAGUACGGUCGCAAGGCUGAAACUCAAAGGAAUUGACGG
rnacentral:rRNA from 1 species